UGUUUUUAAGCAAUAAUUCAAUUUUGAAUGUAACGCGUCUUCUGAUUGGCUGACGUUAUUUUGUUAUGAGCCCAUAAACAUAAUUUAGUCAUGUGACCGUGACGUCAUCAACGUUUUUUCAUGGUUUUCUACGGUUUAAAAUGGAAUUAAGAAUUAAAUUAUAAGAAAUGACUGUAAUAUUUUUUCUGUCUAUUCGAAAUAACAUAAAAAAUGUGGUGCACACUGUUAAAUAACCCGCU
rnacentral:lncRNA from 1 species